GGGACUGCUAGCGCAGAUAGCCCUCGUGUAGCUUUACGCGAAAUUCAAAAACAAACAAGAUAUUUUUACAAAAUUCGACGGAUUUUAGCUUAAAACCCAAACAAAGACCAUUGUUAUUUAGUCCAUUACUAAUAAAUCAUAAAAAAGUAUUAAUCUCUUUUAUUUUGUAACAUAAAAAUGAAAAUUACUAUAUCUUGUGCUAGCGGUAAGUUGUUCGUUCUAGUGUUAUAAAAAGAACAGUCAUCGUUUUACUUCAUUCAAUAAUUUUAUAAACAGAUAAUGCUAAAUCCUUCUAGAGAACAAAUGGGAAUUUUUAAGUCUUGAAACGUGCCGGACUGUAGAUCCGAGGUUCCAGCUUUAUUUAUCGGCAAAACAAAUCAUGCUCCGCACUUUCGGGCAGUGGGUGCGUUAUAAGAGCGACGGUCGAAUCUCACUAUUCGGUCAGAGAAGAAAAGCUCAAGCGUUCACUGAAGGUAUUGUUGUCUAACAGUGUUGUAAGUCCGCUUGCAACAAGCGUAAUUAGGCUUGUUUUAUUCCGAGGUCGCUUAUUUGGUUUUAUUUGGUAAUAGCUGGUUUUAGUGAUGGACUGGGCCAAUGAAUAGCCCACAUUAUUACAAUAUAGAAUUAUCCUACCCUCUCUCCUGUUUAAAUAAGAAACUCACCCACAAUCGUGAACUUUUGGACUCGCCCACUUGACACAUUCAAGUUGCCGUUUUAGAAGGUAGGCCAUAAAUAGCAGUUUUUAACGGCAGUGCCGUUUGUUUUUGUUGCGAGACUUGACAACAAUGUUGACUAGCUAGCUGCCUUCCUUCUAGUGAAUCUAGUCUAUAAGCUCAAAAUCAGUGACAGCUUUGCGCGAAAUUCAACAAGCAAACAGUCUUGAAACCGUAUGAAAUUAAGCAAAUUCUCAAAGGAGACGUUUCUUACGAACGAUAUAUCAUCAAAUAUUUUUCAUUUAUCGAAUAUAUUUAUUCUGAAUUCAUACACACGUAUGCACUAGUAGUUAGCACGUGACAAUUUUUACACCUUAUUUCUCACGUUUUUAUAACGAUAAAGGGUUUCAUAAGAAGUUAAAUUCAGCGAUACUUUGUGUAAAUAUUCAUUUUUACGUCAUUGUUGAAAUUGACUUCGGCAGUUCAAGAAAUGUUCUCGUUGCUAGGAAACUGCUCUACUUUAUUUACUAAGUUUACUAGAGUCUAGACUUCAGAAUGUUACCCGAAAUCUAUUUCAAGAUGUAGCGAUACUCAGGUGGGAAUUUAAACUUACUUUUUCUUAUAUAGGGAAGUUGAAAGUAGUUUUUCCAGUUAUUCCUUAUUGUACCAUAAAUACUGUAAAUCAGUUUAUUAGAAGUUUCUACUCCUUAAUCUUCUUAUACUAUUCUGCAAGUUACUCUUGAAAGAAUUCAGUUUUCACAAAGAUACAGCGGCAUUAUUUGAUUAAGGGAUUUUCUCUAUAUUUUCAAAAAAUGGAAGAUUCCGAAUCAUAGAGAGUUAAAAAAAAAUUAUAGGCGUGAACUGGUGACCAGUUAUAUAAACUGUUUGAAAAUCUCCAGAUUUACUCUACAAUUUGGUAGCAAGGAACUUAGAAGCAGAUUUUUCUGAUUAUCUUUAACUCUCUUUAGCCAGUCUGUGGAUCUAAAGGUCCCAUGUUCGAGACGUUGAAUAUGUUCCGCACAUUCACCUAUAGUUUGCACUAUAUUGAAUGUCAACCCCAUUACUUGGUUCGAAGCCUAACAAAGCCCUCUGAUGGCGAGUGCUGCUUUCCUUCUGGUUAUUAUUUCAAGACUUGGUGUCUCCUUGUUCGAGACGUUGAAUAUGUUCCGCACAUUCACCUAUAGUUUGCACUAUAUUGAAUGUCAACCCCAUUACUUGGUUCGAAGCCUAACAAAGCCCUCUGAUGGCGAGUGCUGCCUUCCUUCUGGUUAUUAUUUCAAGACUUGGUGUCUCCUACUUGGUCGUUUAACGCAAAGAUUCGUUCAUUGAAAGUACGUACUGAAAAUUCGGCUCUGCUCUGCUCUCUCCUACUCUAGAGUUAACACUGUUUAGUGUGAGAAGGACACUAGUUAGUUUUGGAAUUGAGUAUAUUUUCCUUUCUGAGUGCACCGUUAUUAUGGAAAAUAGCUAGUAAAAAACUAAGCAAAGUUUUCUAAAAGGCCUAAUACAUAACAGAAAUGUUAGCAGAUAUGGUGUUUGUUAGUCACGCUUAAAUAAUAAGUUGAAACUUAAGUUUUUCUUGCUACUACGAAAUAAGAUAUUAAUUUAUUGAAAAAAGUAGGUUAUAAGUGUCGUCGAUUAGAAGUAUUAUUUUAACCUUUCGAAUUCAUUAAAAUCCAGUUUUUGACAGCCUAGAAGCAAUGCUCUUCUGUAGUUAAAAUUGUUUAUAGCAGCCCAUAAGUGUGGCUCAGUAGUAAGUCUGAAGGGUUAUAAUGAAAAAUAUCUGGUUUUGAUACCGGGGUGGGCACAACACAUGCAACCCAUCAUGUAGCUUUGUGCUUAAUAAACAAAAACAAAACCCAGAAACAGCUACGUUCUGUAACUAAACUGUUAAAGAAAACUAAUAUAAACACAGAAAAUGUACCGAAUAUUAAUUAUUUCCAUCUAGCGUUCUUAUCUAUCUCAAAUAUUGUGUACAAACGUUCAAUAGGUGGCGCUAGAUAUAUCGGACCACUUAGCAGCUGCGUGCCUUUCCUUGUGUUUGGCUUCAAUCUAAAUUUGUUAGCGAUGGGGACAUUUUAAAGUUCGUUUUUCAUAUUAUGCUUUGCCUAUCUUCUACAAAAAAAAAAAAAAAAGGAUUGAAAAGAGAUAAUCAGCUCAAAAUCCAGAUUACGAAACUACAUCUUGAGACUUACACUUUUUUGAAGGUUUGUAUAUUUCUUGUACUUAAAGGUAUCAAUCACUCACUGUAAAAAUACUUAUAAGAAAUAUAUAAAAAAAUACUUAUAACGAUAA